UGAACGCUAGCUACAGGCUAACACAUGCAAGUCGAGGGCAGCAUGAUCGAAGCUUGCUUGAUGAUGGCGACCGGCGCACGGGUGAGUAACGCGUAUCCAACCUUCCCUAUAGUAGAGGAUAGCCCGGCGAAAGUCGGAUUAAUACUCUAUGUUGUAUUUAGAGGACAUCUGAAGAAUACCAAAGGUUUACCGCUAUAGGAUGGGGAUGCGUCUGAUUAGGUUGUUGGCGGGGUAACGGCCCACCAAGCCUACGAUCAGUAGGGGUUCUGAGAGGAAGGUCCCCCACAUUGGAACUGAGACACGGUCCAAACUCCUACGGGAGGCAGCAGUGAGGAAUAUUGGUCAAUGGGCGAGAGCCUGAACCAGCCAAAAGUAGCGUGCAGGAUGACCGGCCCUAGUUGGGUUAUAAACUGUCUUUUAGUACGGGGAUAAAGUGAGGGACGUGUCCCUUUUUGUAGGUACCGUAUGAAUAAGGACCGGCUAAUUCCGUGCCAGCAGCCGC
rnacentral:rRNA from 1 species